UGGAGUUUUAGGAAGAUAUAAGAGUACCACUAGUGCAAAAUAUACUUGUUAGAAAAGAAAUGCCUUAUAUCUCAAGCCAAAAGGGGGGUGAAUUGGAUUAUGCCUUAAAAACAUUAUCUUUUCAAAAGCUUUGUAAAAUCUUUGGUUUUCUUGAAAUUAAAAAAACAAGAAGUGAUGAAUCAACAAUAAAAGAGAAAUAAUAGAGAGAAAGAUCAACACAAACAAUCUACAGGUUCGGAUAAUCCCAAGCCUACAUCCAGUCCUCCUUCAACAAAUCUUUAUUGAAGGGAAUCCACUAUCAAUUGAUUGAGUUUACAUAAAUACGGAGAUACCUCUUUCAAUGCACUUCUCACCACACUCAAAAUCCAAUAUAACAAACAAGAGAUGAAUACCCUCACCUCUUACAACACUUGAGAACACUCAAACCUCUCAAACCCCUGGCCAACACACGCAAGUAGACAUACAAACCGCCGAUGAUGAUCCUGAUAGUCACACUCCUUUUGGUGCAUAUGAAAUCAAAACAGUUCAACCCAUUUUCUUGAAAGAAUCUUGAUGUGUAAGUAACCCAAUUUGAACCUUGAUUCUUCAAGACACUUCUUCAAUGCUUUUAUAAUCAAAACUUAAUGAAACAGUUAGUAUAUG
rnacentral:lncRNA from 1 species